GCCCAGAUAGCUCAGUAGGUAGAGCACGCGACUGAAAAUCGCGGUGUCGACAGUUCGAUUCUGUCUCUGGGCA
rnacentral:tRNA from 1 species